GCGGCAGUAGAAAUGAUGGAAGAAUUGCAUAGCCUGGACCCACGACGGCAGGAAUUAUUAGAGGCCAGGUUUACUGGAGAUGGUGUUAGUAAGGGGCCACUCAAUAGUGAGUCUUCCAACCAGAGCUUAUGCAGCGUGGGGUCCUUGAGUGAUAAAGAAGUAGAGACUCCUGAAAAAAAGCAGAAUGACCAGCGAAAUCGGAAAAGAAAAGCUGAACCGUAUGAAACUAGCCAAGGGAAAGGCACUCCUAGGGGACAUAAAAUUAGUGAUUACUUUGAGCGGCGAGUAGAGCAGCCCCUCUAUGGUUUAGAUGGCRGUGCUGCAAAGGAGGCACCAGAGGAACAAUCUGCUCUGCCAACCCUCAUGUCAGUGAUGCUAGCAAAACCUCGGCUUGACACAGAACAGUUAGCACAAAGGGGUGCUGGCCUCUGCUUUACUUUCGUUUCAGCUCAGCAAAACAGUCCCUCUUCCAUAGGAUCUGGCAACACAGAGCAUUCCUGCAGCUCCCAAAAACAGAUCUCCAUCCAGCACAGACAAACCCAGUCUGACCUCACAAUAGAAAAAAUAUCUGCACUAGAAAAUAGUAAGAAUUCUGACUUAGAGAAGAAAGAAGGAAGAAUAGAUGAUUUAUUAAGAGCCAACUGUGAUUUGAGAAGGCAGAUUGAUGAACAGCAAAAGAUGCUAGAAAAAUACAAGGAACGAUUAAAUAGAUGUGUCACAAUGAGCAAGAAACUCCUUAUAGAAAAGUCAAAACAAGAGAAGAUGGCAUGUAGAGAUAAGAGCAUGCAGGACCGCUUGAGAUUGGGCCACUUUACUACUGUCCGGCAUGGGGCCUCUUUUACUGAACAGUGGACAGAUGGUUAUGCUUUCCAGAACCUUAUCAAGCAACAGGAAAGGAUAAAUUCACAGAGGGAAGAGAUAGAAAGACAACGGAAAAUGUUAGCAAAGYGGAAACCUCCUGCCAUGGGUCAAGCCCCUCCAGCAACCAAUGAGCAGAAACAGCGGAAGAGCAAGACCAACGGAGCUGAAAAUGAAACGUUAACAUUAGCAGAAUACCAUGAACAAGAAGAAAUCUUUAAACUCAGAUUAGGCCAUCUUAAAAAGGAGGAAGCAGAGAUCCAGGCAGAGCUGGAAAGGCUAGAAAGGGUUAGAAAUCUACAUAUCAGGGAACUAAAAAGGAUACAUAAUGAAGAUAAUUCACAAUUUAAAGAUCAUCCAACGCUAAAUGACAGAUAUUUGUUGUUACAUCUUUUGGGUAGAGGAGGUUUCAGUGAAGUUUACAAGGCAUUUGAUCUAACAGAGCAAAGAUACGUAGCUGUGAAAAUUCACCAGUUAAAUAAAAACUGGAGAGAUGAAAAAAAGGAGAAUUACCACAAGCAUGCAUGUAGGGAAUACCGGAUUCACAAAGAACUGGAUCAUCCCAGAAUAGUUAAGCUGUAUGAUUACUUUUCACUGGAUACUGACUCGUUUUGUACAGUGUUAGAGUACUGUGAGGGAAAUGAUCUGGACUUCUACCUGAAACAGCACAAAUUAAUGUCGGAGAAAGAGGCCCGAUCCGGGUGGGGAGAAAACCACACCCCACGGGAGUGCGGAGCCAACUCGCGGGAGAAAAAUCCUAUUGGCAUUGAGGAGGCAGGGAGCCAGCCCCUGGGCGCGGCCUGCAGGGGGCAGGCGAUCGCCCGGGGAAGCGGGGGCAGGACGAGGCCGGAGCUGGUGCCCGCUCCGCAGCUGCAGGCAGCCGCMGGGAGCCCCAGCUGUGCCUCUGCCGGUGUGCCCUCCUUAGCCCGCGCUCCCCGCGCUGUGUCCCGCCGCUGA